rnacentral:rRNA from 1 species
CCUACGGGAGGCAGCAGUAAGGAAUAUUGGUCAAUGGACGAAAGUCUGAACCAGCCAUGCCGCGUGGAGGAUGAAGGUCCUCUGGAUUGUAAACUUCUUUUAUAUGGGACGAAAAAAGGCCUUUCUAGGUCGUCUGACGGUACCAUAUGAAUAAGCACCGGCUAACUCCGUGCCAGCAGCCGCGGUAAUACGGAGGGUGCAAGCGUUAUCCGGAUUCACUGGGUUUAAAAGGUGCGUAGGUGGGUUGGUAAGUCAGUGGUGAAAUCUCCGAGCUUAACUUGGAAACUGCCAUUGAUACUAUCAGUCUUGAAUAUUGUGGAGGUUAGCGGAAUAUGUCAUGUAGCGGUGAAAUGCUUAGAUAUGACAUAGAACACCAAUUGCGAAGGCAGCUGGCUACACAUAUAUUGACACUGAGGCACGAAAGCGUGGGGAUCAAACAGGAUUAGAUACCCUGGUAGUCCACGCCCUAAACUAUGGAUACUCGACAUACGCGAUACACAGUGUGUGUCUGAGCGAAAGCAUUAAGUAAUCCACCUGGGAAGUACGUCCGCAAGGAUAAACUCAAAGGAAUUGACGG